AUUCAAGCGUUUUGAAGGGCAUCUGGUGAAUGCCUUGGCGAUUAGAGGCGAAGAAGGACGUGACAGGCUGCGAUAAGCCGCGGUAAGGGGCCAAUACCCGUUAUACCCGCGGAUCUCCGAAUGGGGAAACCCACUCUUUAUUGAGUAUCUUGACGUGAAUACAUAGCGUCUUGAAGCAAACCUGGGGAAGUGAAACAUCUCAGUACCCAGAGGAAAGGAAAUCAACCGAGACUCCCGUAGUAGUGGCGAGCGAACCGGGACCAGCCCAGCGGCUGUUCUGUAAUAACUGGAAGUGUCUGGAAAGUCACACCAAAGUAGGUGAUAGUCCUGUACAGGUAAAAAACAGAGCAGUCCUCGAGUAGGACGGAACACGUGAAAUUCUGUCUGAACAUGGGGGGACCAUCCUCCAAGGCUAAGUACUCCUAAUCGACCGAUAGUGAACAAGUACCGUGAGGGAAAGGUGAAAAGAACCCCGAUAAGGGGAGUGAAAUAGACCUGAAACCGGAUGCCUACAAGCAGUGGGAGCACCAUUAAGGUGUGACCGCGUACCUUUUGUAUAAUGGGUCAGCGAGUUAGUCUGUCAUGCAAGCUUAAGCCGAUAGGCGUAGGCGUAGCGAAAGCGAGUCUUAAACGGGCGCUCAGUAUGACGGAUUAGACCCGAAACCCGGUGAUCUAGAUAUGGACAGGUUGAAGGUUGGGUAACACCAACUGGAGGACCGAACCCAUCGACGUUGCAAAGUCGUGGGAUGAUCUGUGUCUAGGGGUGAAAGGCCAAUCAAACCGGGUAAUAGCUGGUUCUCCGCGAAAUCUAUUUAGGUAGACCGUUAUGACCUCACCUUCGGGGGUAGAGCACUGGAAGGGCUAGGGGGGCGCGAGCCUUACCAAACCUUACCAAACUCCGAAUACCGAAGAGUGUAAUCAUAGCAGACAGACUACGGGUGAUAAGGUCCGUGGUCGAAAGGGAAACAGCCCAGACCAACAGCUAAGGUCCCCAAAUGACGACUCAGUGGAAAAGCAAGUCGGAUGUCCAUAACAACCAGGAAGUUGGCUUAGAAGCAGCCAUCUUUUAAAGAAAGCGUAAUAGCUCACUGGUCUAAAUAAGACGUCUGGCGGCGAAGAUGUAACGGGUCUUAAGUCGUCUACCGAAGCUUUGGAUGCACACUUUGUGUGCGUGGUAGCGGAGCAUUCUGUAAGCCUGCGAAGGAUAACCGCGAGGUUAUCUGGAGGUAUCAGAAGAGAGAAUGCUGACAUGAGUAACGAUAAAGAGUGUGAGAAACACUCUCGCCGAAAUCCCAAGGGUUCCUGAUUUAAGUUAAUCUGAUCAGGGUGAGCCGGCCCCUAAGGCGAGGGCGAAAGCCGUAGUCGAUGGGAACCACGUUAAUAUUCGUGGGCCAGUGGAUGUGUGACGGUGUCCGUAAAUUGUUCUUCCUUAUUGGAUUGGAAGGGCCGUGAAGGGCAUCCAGGAAAUAGCCUCCACACAGACCGUACCCUAAACCGACACAGGUGGGAUGGUAGAGAAUACCAAGGCGCUUGAGAGAACUGUCCUGAAGGAACUCGGCAAAUUACUUGCGUAACUUCGGGAUAAGCAAGCCCUGUCAGAAGGCAACUUUUGACGGGGGGCACAGACCAGGGGGUAGCGACUGUUUAUCAAAAACACAGGGCUCUGCGAACACGCGAGUGGACGUAUAGGGUCUGACGCCUGCCCGGUGCCGGAAGGUUAAAGGGAGGAGUGCAAGCUCCGAACUGAAGCCCCGGUAAACGGCGGCCGUAACUAUAACGGUCCUAAGGUAGCGAAAUUCCUUGUCGGGUAAGUUCCGACCUGCACGAAUGGCGUAACGACUUCCCCACUGUCUCCAGGGCAGACUCAGUGAAAUUGAAUUCGAGGUGAAGAUGCCUCGUACCCGCAGUUAGACGGAAAGACCCUAUGAACCUUUACUAUAGCUUCACAGUGGCACCAUGAUUGUAACGUGUAGGAUAGGUGGGAGGCUUUGAAGCCGGGACGCUAGUUUCGGUGGAGCCAAAACUGAAAUACCACCCUUUGCUCUUGUGUUGUCUAACCGAGGUCCGUUAUCCGGAUCCGGGACCCUGUGUGGUGGGUAGUUUGACUGGGGCGGUCGCCUCCUAAAGAGUAACGGAGGCGCGCGAUGGUGAGCUCAGGACGGUCGGAAAUCGUCCUUUGAGUGCAAUGGCAUAAGCUCGCCUUACUGUGAGACUGACACGUCGAACAGUGUCGAAAGACGGUCAUAGUGAUCCGGUGGUUUCCGCAUGGAAGGGCCAUCGCUCAACGGAUAAAAGGUACUCUAGGGAUAACAGGCUGAUAGCGCCCAAGCGUCCAUAGCGACGGCGCUGUUUGGCACCUCGAUGUCGGCUCAUCUCAUCCUGGGGCUGUAGCAGGUCCCAAGGGUAUGGCUGUUCGCCAUUUAAAGAGGUACGUGAGCUGGGUUCAGAACGUCGUGAGACAGUUCGGUCCCUAUCUUCUGCGGGAGUUGGAGUCUUGAGAGGAUCUGCCCUUAGUACGAGAGGACCGGGGUGGACGUACCACUGGUGUACCAGUUGUUCCGCCAGGAGCAGCGCUGGGUAGCUAUGUACGGACUCGAUAACCGCUGAAAGCAUCUAAGCGGGAAACGAACCUCAAUACCAGGACUCCCUAUCAGAGCCGUUAUAGACUAUGACGUUGAUAGGCUGGAUGUGGAAGAGCGGCAACGCUUGAAGCUAACCAGUACUAAUUGCUCGAUCGGCUUGAAUUC
rnacentral:rRNA from 1 species